ensembl:lncRNA
UGCGGCGGGCGGCUUGAUGGCGAGCGGAGACGGGAGGCCUGGGCUUGGGCAGCGGUGGCGGUGUCCUGGCCCCGACGGUGACGGAGGGCUUUGAUGAGGCCCGGCGGCCGCGUGCUUGCCAGGAAGGCCCGGGGCUUGAGGCCCUGGAAGGCCUGGCCCGUUCAGGAGUCCCGGCUGUUUGGGGGAAUGUCCCACGCCCUGUGGGGAUUUGAGCCGUGUCUCCCGGCCGACUUGGGUGUCCCGGUUGGUGUGUGGUCGGGCCUGGGACGGGCGUGGUGCGGGCGGGAACCGCCGGGUAGCGACCACGUCUCGUCAGGGGGUUCGUGCCUGCUGCUGGGCACGGGAACGGCUCCGGGGGGGUCUUACGGGCGCUGAGGGGAUUCCGCAUCAUGGAGAGGUCAAGGGGAGUUGGUGGCCGUCACCCUUCGUCAGGGCAGGGUAGCAUCAGUGCUCCCGUGCUGGGGUUCCUGGAGAGCCGGCUGGCACGGACAGACUCUUGUGAGGGCAAGUGGCUGAUCGUGCGUCGGAUGGGUCCAGCAAAGGAGAGAAAGCUUCGGUGCGCGCGCGCUCGCCAGGGAAAGGGUGACAGCGGGUGGGACCGAGAGGGAGAGAGAGAGAGGGAGAGAACAAAGGAAGAGAGAGGGUUUCCGCAGGGGCGGUGAGUCCUGGCGGAAGUCCUGAGGCAGAGGAGGUGCCAGGGGUUUGGGUUUCCCGGUCGUGUCGGGGGUGUGGCGCAGGUUGCCCCAGUGGGCCUGAAUGUGCCUCCGUGGGGCACCUUGUUGCCGUGUUGGGGGGCGGGGAGCCGGCCUUGGGGAUCCAUCUUUCGGGCCCUGGGACGUGGGAGAAGAAUGCCGGGGCCUCUCUCUGUGCCCCUGGCACGCCUCUGUGCAGGCCGGGCCUGCACCACCCCCCGCGCCCGUCCCCCAGGCAGGGUCCGUGUGGCUGCAGACACCCAGAGAGAGGGGAGGCUGGGGAGGCUGGGGAGCCGUGGCAGCCCGAUGCAGUGCGGGUCUCCAGGUGGAGGGGCCCUGGUCCCCUGGCGCCAGCGUGGCCCUUCCUCCUUGUGGAAACCCUUGUGGUGUGUGUGCUCUCUCGCCCUGACCCAGGAGAGCAGCAUGGCGGACCCCUGAUCUUGUGGCGUGCCACCGCGCGAGGCCGAGGAGCUCCCGCAGACCAGUGGGCGUGGCGUCCUUGUCGCGGCUCUGUGGAGACCUGGCGAUGGAGAGCAGCAUGGCGGACCCCUGAUCUUGUGGCGUGCCACCGCGCGAGGCCGAGGAGCUCCCGCAGACCAGUGGGCGUGGCGUCCUUGUCGCGGCUCUGUGGAGACCUGGCGAUGGAGAGCAGCAUGGCGGACCCCUGAUCUUGUGGCGUGCCACCGCGCGAGGCCGAGGAGCUCCCGCAGCCCAGUGGGCGUGGCGUCCUUGUCGCGGCUCUGUGGAGACCUGGCGAUGGUGAGCGGCCCCUGUCCUCAGUGGUGGAGAACUCGCCCUUGGGGCGCUCGUCGGUCCGGAGCCCCGGGCCAGCCCCGCUUCUCGCGGGCUUUGGCCCCGGCAGGCCAGCUCCGGGGGCGUGAGGGGGAGCGUCCCGUCCUGCCCAGUGGCUCGUCUGUCUGGGCACGCCCCCAAACGCUGCCGUGAUGGAGCGGGUGGGAUGUCCAGGUGCGGAGGCCGUGAAUUUGCCUUGCGGCGGCGGAGCCCGUGCUCGGAUCGAUGAUGACUCCCUCUAAAGCAUUCCUUGGAAAUCUGAACAAAAUGAGUGAGAACUCACUACCGUCUCCUCAUCGAAACUGAGGUCCGGCACGUGGCGGCCACCGGGGGCUCGGGGGUAGAUGGGCCCUUGGCCUUGGGCCUCUGGGUGUCGGUGAGUCUGGGGAGGCGGGGCCUGCCGGGCCCAGGAAGGGGCCCGGGCCGGCGAGGGGAGGCCGCGUGCCCGAGCGUGCUGGAGAUCCCGGGCGGCCUCCCGCCGGCCUUGGGGGGUUUCGCAAGCGUCGCGGGGGCCGAAAUUUGGGCCCGGCCCGCGAGGCAAGUGUGCGGCCCUAGGGCCCCAGGGGGCGUCCUGGCCCAGGCCGGGCGCCCUUCUCAGGAUGCUGUGGGGAGACGGGAUCCCGGCAGGGUAGUGUUUCUCUGCUCUGGGACCUGAGGGGCUGGGGGGUCUGUGGUAGCGGGGGCCCUUGGAUCAGGGCCGUCCCCCAUGGGAGGGGGGCAGCCUGGGAACCCCUGAGGGCGCUCCCCUGGGACGUCCAGGGAUGUUGGGGCGGAGGCUGGGGCUGGGUGGCGAGAAGGGGGCAGCUGAAGUGGUGAGCGACAGGCGGGCAGAGGGAGCCUGCCGGGGACGUGGGUGGACAGGCCCACGUCUGGAUG